rnacentral:miRNA from 1 species
UGUGUGUAUGUGUGUGUGCAUGUACAUGCACACACAUGAUGUGUAUAUAUACAUACAUAUACACAUGUACAUGUGUACACAGGACACA